rnacentral:rRNA from 1 species
GAUGAACGCUAGGGGCAGGCCUAAUACAUGCAAGUCGGACGGGACUUGGGAGCUUGCUCCUGAUGAGAGUGGCGCACGGGUGCGUAACACGUAUGUAACCUACCUUAACCAGGGGGAUAGCCUCUCGAAAGAGAGAUUAACACCGCAUAAAAUAAGGAACUGGCAUCUGUUUAUUAGCAAAUAUUUAUAGGGUUAAGAUGGGCAUGCGUAACAUUAGCUAGUUGGUAAGGUAAUGGCUUACCAAGGCUACGAUGUUUAGGGGAUCUGAGAGGAUGGCCCCCCACACUGGUACUGAGACACGGACCAGACUCCUACGGGAGGCAGCAGUAAGGAAUAUUGGUCAAUGGGCGGAAGCCUGAACCAGCCAUGCCGCGUGCAGGAAGACGGCCCUAUGGGUUGUAAACUGCUUUUGUACCGGAAUAAACCUUUGGUCGUGACCGAAGCUGAAUGUACGGUAAGAAUAAGGAUCGGCUAACUCCGUGCCAGCCGCCGCGGUAA